UACGUAGGGUGCGAGCGUUGUCCGGAAUUACUGGGCGUAAAGAGCUUGUAGGUGGUUUGUCGCGUUGUUCGUGAAAUCUCACGGCUCAACUGUGAGCGUGCGGGCGAUACGGGCAGACUAGAGUACUGCAGGGGAGACUGGAAUUCCUGGUGUAGCGGUGGAAUGCGCAGAUAUCAGGAGGAACACCGGUGGCGAAGGCGGGUCUCUGGGCAGUAACUGACGCUGAGAAGCGAAAGCAUGGGGAGCGAACAGG
rnacentral:rRNA from 1 species